rnacentral:misc_RNA from 1 species
AAAGCGCGAUAGGUAAUGCGAAUUGCAGAAUUCAGUGAAUCAUCAAAUCUUUGAACGCAACUGGCGCUCUUUGGUUCGCCAAAGAGCAUGCUUUUUUGAGUGUCGUCUUCACACACUCUCGUCUGCGUGCUUGCUUGCGCUUGCAUGCAUGUACGGGGAGAUUGAAUGUCUCAAUGGGGUGUUUACUACUAUUGAGUCAUUUGAAACGCAACGGCUCGACUAAGUUGUUUAUUUUUUCUCAUCAACUAGUCAAUGUUUGAUAAUAGACUUCGGUCUACUACCAUAUCACAUUGGCUAGGAAGAAAAAACCAAAACAAAAUGAAUGAGCUCGGAAGACAAAGGAAAUUUUCUGAAAUCUGACCUCAAAUAAAGCAAGAGAACCCGCCGAAUUUAA